AGUAGUUUCGACUCCGUCGCGUACAGGACACGCUGGCGGCGUGCCUAAUACAUGCAAGUCGAGCGGACAGAUGGGAGCUUGCUCCCUGAUGUUAGCGGCGGACGGGUGAGUAACACGUGGGUAACCUGCCUGUAAGACUGGGAUAACUCCGGGAAACCGGGGCUAAUACCGGAUGGUUGUUUGAACCGCAUGGUUCAAACAUAAAAGGUGGCUUCGGCUACCACUUACAGAUGGACCCGCGGCGCAUUAGCUAGUUGGUGAGGUAACGGCUCACCAAGGCAACGAUGCGUAGCCGACCUGAGAGGGUGAUCGGCCACACUGGGACUGAGACACGGCCCAGACUCCUACGGGAGGCAGCAGUAGGGAAUCUUCCGCAAUGGACGAAAGUCUGACGGAGCAGCGCCGCGUGAGUGAUGAAGGUUUUCGGAUCGUAAAGCUCUGUUGUUAGGGAAGAACAAGUACCGUUCGAAUAGGGCGGUACCUUGACGGUACCUAACCAGAAAGCCACGGCUAACUACGUG
rnacentral:rRNA from 1 species